AACAGAAUAUAAGAUAAAUAAAUUUACAUUAAUAAUUUUGUAGAAAUUGAAAUUCCUUAAGAAAAAUAAUGUUAUGUAUAUUAUAUUUGUGACGGGACAUCUAAGCUAGCCUUGAGUCCUGCCCUAUCCUGCAAAGCCCCAUUUCAUUUUUUUGGGCUGAGAUAGACUCGUUUCAAUAUGAACGGGAUAGUGUCGGGCCGGCUCGGGACAAACGUGAACACUUAAUGACAUCAUUAUGUUAGUUCAGUGAAAUAGUCAUUGUUUAUUUGUUUCUUGAGAAUUCCUGCUUUUUCUUGCAUUCUCAUUAUCUAGUUUUAGUUAUCAUCUCUCUGCAUUGGCCGUUAUAUCAUAGCACUUAAUUGUAGAAAUUAGGAAUAACUAAUUAGUACAACUCAGUUUUUUUAAAGAAUAAACCUUAUUCUGUAGUUAAUUACAAUUAAUUCUUUCUUGCAAGACAGUAUCAAUUUGUUUACUUCUUUCUUCUGUUCGAUUCAAAAAAUAUUGCCAAAGUUAUCAUCACUUCACAUUACAGCAUUAAUAGAUGGAAGGGAUUAGGAGUUGCAUUGCGACCAAGCUUGCAGGGUGUCUAUGGUAUCCAAUUUCAUGUGGUGCUCGUUAUUUGUUCUUCUUCAACCAAUUCAUUGGGCAUUUUAAGAAAGCAAGAGAAGACCUGGAGGUGAAACUAGCAGACAUGGAAAAGCGUAAGGAAGAAGCUAAUCGAAAAAUUGAAGAGAUAAUGCCAUCCGUGAAGAAGUGGUUGCAUGACGUUCAAGCUAUCUUAGAGGCAGGUGCAAAAGCUGCAACAUGAGCUUGAAGCAGGAGGAGCAAACAAGUGUUUGAACAUGCCACAUAGGUAUUCUUUAGCUAAAAAAAUGGAUGAUCUGGCUAAACAGAUGAAGGAGCUCGAAACACAUUCCAACUUUGAGCCAUUUUCCCUGCCGAUCCUACUUUCAGGCAUGCCUGAAUUUUCUUCCAAGGGUUUCGUGGAAUUCAACUCAAGGAAAUCAGCAUACAAUGGUCUUCUAGAGGCCAUUAAAGAUGGCAAGAACAAGAUGGUUGGGCUUUAUGGAAUCGAGGGCUCAGGUAAAACCACCUUGGCUAAAAAAGUAGGUCUCAAGAUCACAGAAUUAAAGCUUUUUGACAAUGUUGUCAUGGCAGUUGUUUCAAAACCUCCCAAUCUGCUGAAAAUUCGACAGGACAUAGCAGAGUAAAUUGGUUUAGAAUUAAAGGAGCAGCUGUAGUCUCAAAGAGUAGAAAAGUUAUCUCAUGCAUUAAAAAAUAAGAAGACUCUAAUAAUCUUGGAUGACAUCUAGAGCAAACUAAGCCUUGAAGAAAUUGGCAUUCCACUUAAUGAAGGUUGUUGUGUCUUGUUAACCACUCGCCUUCAUGAGGUAUGUGUCUUUAUGGAUUGUGAGAGUAUAACUAAACUACCUCUCUUAAAAGAGGAAGAGGCAUGGACUUUGUUCAGGAUUUGUGCUAACAUAAUCAAUGUCUUGAAUGAUGACUUUGAUGGCAUUGGAAGGAAGAUUGUUGAUGAGUGUAAGGCUCUGCCUAUAGCAACUGUGAUUGUGGGAAGCAUGGUAAAAGGAAAGAGUCUUCAAGUGUGGAAGUCAACUCUACUAAGGCUACAACAUCCCAUAUAUCUAGAUAUUGAAGAAGAUUUGAGGAGCCUUUAUGCAGUGCUUGAACCAAGUUAUAACAAUUUGUCGAGUCAACUAGCCAAGUCCUUCUUCUUAUUGUGCUCUAUGUUUCCUAAGGAUCCAUGUAGACGAUUUAAUUCAUUUUGGCAUAGAGACUCUUGAGCUAAGUGAUAAUAUUGAUAUGAUGGAGGAUGCCAGGAAUGAGAUUUUAGUCAUUAUUGAGAGGUUGUUAGAUUCUUAUUUGUUAAUGCCUACCAAUCAGCAGGCUCAUGUAAAAUUGCACAAUGUAGUUUGAGAUGUAGCCUUAUGGAUUGCAAAGAAAACUUCUCAAGUAGUUCUGGUCAAUAGAAGUAUUGUUUCAAGCAUGUUAGAUAAACAUCAAAGUUUGAAAGAUACAAAGGCAUUGUCAUUGUGGAAUUUGGAUGAGAAUUUCAAGCUUUCUAAUCAAUUGCAUUCUCCAACACUUGAUAUUUUGCUACUUCAUCCUCAAGGGUUCAUUGAUCAUCUUGGAGGGACAGAAGCACUAAAAGUCUUAGCCCUUAUAACAUUUAGCUUUAAAUGGAUGUCUUAGGAUUCUUGGAAGGAAAAAAAUUAAAUGUUCAGUUCUACAAUCAAUUGUGUCAUUAACAAAUUUUCACACAUUAUCCCUUAGGGGAAAAAUAUUGGGUGACAUUUCUUUCUUAGGUGAACUUAAAAGAUUGGAGAUUUUUGACUUGUGUAGUUCUGAAUUUGAUGAACUACCUGCUGGAAUUAUACAAAUGAAAAAGUUAAAACUUUUAGAUGUGUUUGAUUGUAAAGUCAAGAAAUGCUCUUUAGAAUUAAUUAGAAGAUGUGAGCAGCUUCAAGAAUUAUACUUUUGGGAUAAUGAAUCUACCAUCCUAGCAAGUUUCCCUCUUUCAGGAUUGAAUAGGUAUGUUAUUGAUGACUCCAAAUGUAGUUUAAGUAUAUAUCAACGUCCUUUUCUAGAAUAUUUUGAUGGUUGUAUUGAAGCCUUAAGAGCUUUAUGUAUAUAAGGCUUCAAAGUCCAUGCUCUAGGUUCGUCAAUGAAAGACCUCAUUCUUAGAGCAAACUAUCUUUGGUUGGAGAAUUGUAUGUGGGAUCAUAAAGAUCUAAAUUUAGAGAUAAAGCACUUAGUGGUUUUACACUACCCAAAGAAAAGGUUUAUCGUUGAUAACUUUGAUGGCAACCAUCUUCAAACAAAACAAGUAUUCUCCUGCCUAAUUACUUUAAUGUUGAAGGAAAUGAGAAAUCUUGAACAGUUGUUUCAAGAUGCAUCUAUCAAAUCUCUCCCAGUGUUACAAGAGCUAAGUAUAGAAACUUGUCUUGAAUUGAGAAAUUGCAUCUUCACCAACGCCACUGUUACAAGCCUACCAAAGUUGAGGGAACUUCGUAUAUGUGAUUGCGGCAAAGUGAAAUGGCUAUUCCCUUAUUCUCUUGCUUGCCAUUGUCCUUCACUAGAGGAAUUGAGAAUACAGGUUGCUCUGAACUUGAGAGGCUCAUCGGUGGAGAUGAUGAUGAAGACUUACCAUAUGAGGAUCAACUACUACACCCAGGGCAGUCCUUUUAUGAUAUGCAAGGUUUUUCAUACGGGAAUGGAAGUGAGACAGCAUAUAUGGGGGUUAUUACAACAAGCUUCGAGCAGUUGCAGAAUUAGAAGCCCUUGACCCUUUUCCAAAGUCUAAAAUUUCUACAAAUUAUGAGUUGUGAAAGAAUGCAAGGUAUAUUUGAAGUGCAAGUGAGUGGAACUGGAGAAGCACAAGAUCCUAAUUCGAUGCUCAUUUUAAAGUUGUGUGAAUUAACAUUGAAAGAUCUAGCAGAGUUGGAAUAUAUUUGGAAGGGCCCCACACAAAUUGUGAGCCUCCAUAGACUUGAAAGAGUUGAUUUGUGAGAUUGUCCAAGAUUAAAAAGUAUCUUCUCUCUUACUAUCCUUACAAGCCUCCCAGAGUUGAGAUAACUUGCAGUAAUUAAAUGCAAGGAAUGGGAGGGAAUAUUUUGUGAAAAAUCACUUAAGAACCUUUCAUCUUCUUCUUUUGAUGUUUGCUUCCCCAAACUUAGAAAGAUUGAGAUAGACUGUUGCAAU